rnacentral:rRNA from 1 species
UACGGGGGGAGCAAGCGUUGUUCGGAAUCACUGGGCGUAAAGGGAGUGUAGGCGGUUCGGGAAGUGGGAUGUGAAAUCCCCGGGCUCACCCCGGGACCUGCAUCCCAAACUGCUGAGCUUGAGUACAGGAGAGGGUGGGGGAAUUCCAGGUGUAGCGGUGAAAUGCGUAGAUAUCUGGAGGAACACCGGUGGCGAAGGCGCCCACCUGGCCUGCUACUGACGCUGAAACUCGAAAGCUAGGGGAGCAAACGGG